rnacentral:rRNA from 1 species
UACGGGGGGGGCAAGCGUUGUUCGGAAUUACUGGGCGUAAAGGGCUUGUAGGUGGCCAACUAAGUCAGACGUGAAAUCCCUCGGCUUAACCGGGGAACUGCGUCUGAUACUGGAUGGCUGGAGUGUGGGAGAGGGAUGCGGAAUUCCAGGUGUAGCGGUGAAAUGCGUAGAUAUCUGGAGGAAUACCGGUGGCGAAGGCGGCAUCCUGGACCAUAACUGACGCUGAGGCGCGAAAGCUAGGGGAGCAAACGGG